CAUCCUGCUCACUUCCUCUCUUUUAUAUUUUCCUUCUCCCGACAGGAGCCCCGGAAUUUUAUUUCACGCAGUAUUCCCCAUGCUUGUUCUGGGAGUGUUAAAUCAUGUUCCCUCAAAAUAAGAGUUUCGUGUUCAGGUCUGAUGCCAACCGGCAGUCCUGGCAGCAGUGACCUGCAAUUCCACUGGAUGUGGCAGGCAGGAUCUGUUUCCCUGGCCAUUUUUUGGAGAAGGUCCAGCUGAGAGGCUCAGACAGCCAUAAUGGAUGGGAUCUUUUUAGAGGUACCGAGAAUGCCAUGGUUUCAACCCAAGAAGACAGCAGGGCCAUCAGCAGAAGUGAGACAAGGAGCUGGCUGGAAAGUGAAGAUCACGGGCAGAAGGCAGAGGCGUGGCAGGUGCCCUGAGUGGCAGAGGACUACGGAGGGCAAGACCCCGUAUGAGAGGUGUGGACUCGGCCAGCAAUGACGCAGGUCCUGGCAGGGGCCCACCUGCAUUCUCGUAAUAAUACUGAUGAUGAUGGCCUUGAUGACGGCGAUGAAAAUGAUGACGAUGAUGAUGGUGAUGAUGAUGGCGA